rnacentral:rRNA from 1 species
CCCAGACUCCUACGGGAGGCAGCAGUGGGGAAUAUUGCACAAUGGGGGAAACCCUGAUGCAGCGACGCCGCGUGAGUGAAGAAGUAUUUCGGUAUGUAAAGCUCUAUCAGCAGGGAAGAAAAUGACGGUACCUGAUUAAGAAGCCCCGGCUAACUACGUGUCAGCAGCCGCGGUAAUACGUAGGGGGCAAGCGUUAUCCGGAUUUACUGGGUGUAAAGGGAGCGUAGACGGUGAUGCAAGUCAGAAGUGAAAGCCCGGGGCUCAACUCCGGGACUGCUUUUGAAACUGUGUGACUGGAGUGCAGGAGAGGUAAGCGGAAUUCCUGGUGUAGCGGUGAAAUGCGUAGAUAUCAGGAGGAACACCAGUGGCGAAGGCGGCUUACUGGACUGUAACUGACGUUGAGGCUCGAAAGCGUGGGGAGCAAACAGGAUUAGAUACCCUAGUA